GUUUCGUUUAAAUCUUUGUCUAACGAUUUGACUAUUUCGCUAGGAAAAACACCACUGAUUUGUUUUUUGAGAACGUCUGUAGUUAUCAUAGAAGGUUUUAGUCAAAUAACAAAAUAUGCAUACGUAUACUGUAUAAGGAACUUUUUGAAAUGAAAAAAUUAUAUUAUGUUUUAUAUUUUUAAAAACAUUGCGCGUAUGUUUGGCGUAUUAAGUGUUGCUGCUCAUUAAUAUAAUAAAAAACGUAAAUAAUAGAUCUAUUAUAACUUUCUAGUUUUACAAAAUAUUACUGUGAUAUGUUUUAUAAUAAAUUAAUAAAGAAUGUUUUUUUUGUAAAGAGUCUAAUAACUUCUUGUUAUACAUUGAAAACGCUUUAAUUUUUUUUUUGUUGAAUAAAAGUCGCAUAUUUGCUUGAUGGUUUUCCUUGUUUGAAGGAGUUAUACGUGGUAAACAUCAGUUGAUUGUUUGAAUUUAAUAAGUCAAACUUUCAUUAUCUCAUACUAUUACGCAUGACUAUUA